AUUGAACGCUGGCGGCAGGCCUAACACAUGCCAGUCGAGCGGAUGAAGGGAGCUUGCUCCUGGAUUCAGCGGCGGACGGGUGAGUAAUGCCUAGGAAUCUGCCUGGUAGUGGGGGAUAACGUCCGGAAACGGGCGCUAAUACCGCAUACGUCCUGAGGGAGAAAGUGGGGGAUCUUCGGACCUCACGCUAUCAGAUGAGCCUAGGUCGGAUUAGCUAGUUGGUGGGGUAAAGGCCUACCAAGGCGACGAUCCGUAACUGGUCUGAGAGGAUGAUCAGUCACACUGGAACUGAGACACGGUCCAGACUCCUACGGGAGGCAGCAGUGGGGAAUAUUGGACAAUGGGCGAAAGCCUGACCCAGCCAUGCCGCGUGUGUGAAGAAGGUCUUCGGAUUGUAAAGCACUUUAAGUUGGGAGGAAGGGCAGUAAGUUAAUACCUUGCUGUUUUGACGUUACCAACAGAAUAAGCACCGGCUAACUUCGUG
rnacentral:rRNA from 1 species